UACGUAGGGUGCGAGCGUUGUCCGGAUUUAUUGGGCCUAAAGCAUCCGUAGCCGGUUCUACAAGUCUUCCGUUAAAUCCACCUGCUUAACAGAUGGGCUGCGGAAGAUACUAUAGAGCUAGGAGGCGGGAGAGGCAAGCGGUACUCGAUGGGUAGGGGUAAAAUCCGUUGAUCCAUUGAAGACCACCAGUGGCGAAGGCGGCUUGCCAGAACGCGCUCGACGGUGAGGGAUGAAAGCUGGGGGAGCAAACCGG
rnacentral:rRNA from 1 species